rnacentral:rRNA from 1 species
UGGGGAAUAUUGCACAAUGGGCGAAAGCCUGAUGCAGCGACGCCGCGUGAGGGAUGACGGCCUUCGGGUUGUAAACCUCUUUCAGCAGGGAAGAAGCGAAAGUGACGGUACCUGCAGAAGAAGCNCCGGCUAACUACGUGCCAGCAGCCGCGGUAAUACGUAGGGNGCRAGCGUUGUCCGGAAUUAUUGGGCGUAAAGAGCUCGUAGGCGGCUUGUCACGUYGGAUGUGAAAGCCCGGGGCUUAACCCCGGGUCUGCAUUCGAUACGGGCURGCUAGAGUGUGGUAGGGGAGAUCGGAAUUCCUGGUGUAGCGGUGAAAUGCGCAGAUAUCAGGAGGAACACCGGUGGCGAAGGCGGAUCUCUGGGCCAUUACUGACGCUGAGGAGCGAAAGCGUGGGGAGCGAACAGGAUUAGAUACCCUGGUAGUCCACGCCGUAAACGGUGGGAACUAGGUGUUGGCGACAUUCCACGUCGUCGGUGCCGCAGCUAACGCAUUAAGUUCCCCGCCUGGGGAGUACGGCCGCAAGGCUA